UACGAAGGGGGCUAGCGUUGCUCGGAAUCACUGGGCGUAAAGCGCACGUAGGCGGCUCUUUAAGUCAGAGGUGAAAUCCUGGGGGCUCAACCCCAGAACUGCCUUUGAUACUGAGGAGCUUGAGUCCGGGAGAGGUGAGUGGAACUGCGAGUGUAGAGGUGAAAUUCGUAGAUAUUCGCAAGAACACCAGUGGCGAAGGCGGCUCACUGGCCCGGUACUGACGCUGAGGUGCGAAAGCGUGGGGAGCAAACAGGG
rnacentral:rRNA from 1 species